AUUGAACGCUGGCGGCAGGCUUAACACAUGCAAGUCGAGCGGGGACUUCGGUCCUAGCGGCGAACGGGUGAGGAAUGCUUGGGAAUCUGCCCAGUAGUGGGGGAUAACGUUUCGAAAGGAACGCUAAUACCGCAUACGUCCUACGGGAGAAAGGGGGGGAUCUUCGGACCUCUCGCUAUUGGAUGAGCCCAAGUCGGAUUAGCUAGUUGGUGAGGUAAAGGCUCACCAAGGCGACGAUCCGUAGCUGGUCUGAGAGGAGGAUCAGCCACACUGGAACUGAGACACGGUCCAGACUCCUACGGGAGGCAGCAGUGGGGAAUAUUGGACAAUGGGCGAAAGCCUGAUCCAGCCAUGCCGCGUGUGUGAAGAAGGCCUUCGGGUUGUAAAGCACUUUAAGCGAGGAGGAAUGGCUCUUGGUUAAUAACCUUGAGCAGUGACGUUACUCGCAGAAUAAGCACCGGCUAACUCUGUGCCAGCAGCCGCCGCAGUA
rnacentral:rRNA from 1 species